UGGGGGAUAUUGCACAAUGGAGGAAACUCUGAUGCAGCGACGCCGCGUGAGGGAAGAAGGUCUUCGGAUUGUAAACCUCUGUCUUUAGGGACGAAGAAAGUGACGGUACCUAAAGAGGAAGCCACGGCUAACUACGUGCCAGCAGCCGCGGUAAUACGUAGGUGGCGAGCGUUGUCCGGAUUUACUGGGUGUAAAGGGUGCGUAGGCGGGUUAUCAAGUUGGGUGUGAAACCUCCGUGCUUAACACGGAGCCUGCAUUCAAAACUGGUAAUCUUGAGUGAGGUAGAGGUAGAUGGAAUUCCCGGUGUAGCGGUGAAAUGCGUAGAGAUCGGGAGGAACACCAGUGGCGAAGGCGGUCUACUGGGCCUUAACUGACGCUGAGGCACGAAAGCAUGGGUAGCAAACAGG
rnacentral:rRNA from 2 species